rnacentral:precursor_RNA from 10 species
UAACUGUAUAAUACUAAACUGCGCGUGAACUUACUUGCUUUAACAGUAUGCGUUAUUAUCGUAGGCUGCUAAUGCAAGCUAGUAUUCGCUACAGUACAAACACCACGUCAAGU